rnacentral:rRNA from 1 species
UGGGGAAUAUUGGACAAUGGGCGCAAGCCUGAUCCAGCCAUGCCGCGUGAGUGAUGAAGGCCUUAGGGUUGUAAAGCUCUUUUGUCCGGGAAGAUAAUGACUGUACCGGAAGAAUAAGCCCCGGCUAACUUCGUGCCAGCAGCCGCGGUAAUACGAAGGGGGCUAGCGUUGCUCGGAAUCACUGGGCGUAAAGGGCGCGUAGGCGGACUUUUAAGUCGGAGGUGAAAGCCCAGGGCUCAACCCUGGAAUUGCCUUCGAUACUGGGAGUCUUGAGUUCGGAAGAGGUUGGUGGAACUGCGAGUGUAGAGGUGAAAUUCGUAGAUAUUCGCAAGAACACCGGUGGCGAAGGCGGCCAACUGGUCCGAAACUGACGCUGAGGCGAAAAAGCGUGGGGAGCAAACAGG